GGUGCCAUUGUAGUUGUUUCGGCAGCUCGACAGGUGCUAAAAAGACGACCGAACUUGAUCAUUUAGAGGAAGUAA
rnacentral:rRNA from 1 species